rnacentral:rRNA from 1 species
CCUACGGGUGGGCAGCAGUGAGGAAGAUUGGGCAAUGGCCGGAAGGCUGAACCAGCCAUGCCGCGUGAAGGUCAGUGCCCUAUGGGCGUUAAACUUCUUUUGUGCGGGAGCAAGAAUGGUCACGUGUGGCCAGACGAGAGUACCGUACGAAUAAGCAUCGGCUAACUCCGUGCCAGCAGCCGCGGUAAUACGGGGGAUGCAAGCGUUAUCCGGAUUUAUUGGGGUUAAAGGGUGCGUAGGCUGUGAGGUAAGUCAGCGGUGCAAGGCCCCCGCUCAACGGGGUGAAGUGCCAUUGAUACUGCCUUGCUGGACUGCGGCUGCCGUGGGAGGACUGUGUGGUGUAGCGGUGACAUGCAUAGCUAUCACACAGAACACCGAUUGCGAAGGCAUCUCACGAAUCCGCGUUUGACGCUGAUGCACGAACGCGUGGGUAUCAAACAGGAUUAGCUACCCGGGUAGUC